CUUGGCUGAUUACUAACUUGGUAAAGAAAUAGGCCAUACUUAAUUUAAGCUACCAUCACUCACAGACAUUUGAAUAACUUUUCCCUAUUAACUAGGUUCUGAUGUAACACUUAUAUACAUAGGUUCUGAUGUAACAUUUAUAUACAUAGUUUUGCAGUUAUACAUGUACUUCUGUGGAUAAAUGUUAGAAGUAGAAACAUUAGUUUAUUUAGGACAAAAGUAAGGAUAACUGCUUAAAGCAAUGAUUGUCAACCUGUAGGUCAUGACUCCUUUGGGCAUAAAAUGACAUUCUCACAAGUAUUGCCAAAGAGCACUGGAAAACACAGAUAUUACACUACAAUUUGUAACAGUAGCAAAAUUACAGUUAUGAAGUAGCAGUGAAAAUAAUUUUAUGAUCGGGGGUCACCACAACAUGAGUAACUGUAUUAAAGGGUUGCAGCAUUAGAAAGGUUGCGACUCACCACCUUAAACCAAAAGGCAGACAGCCCUCAAUUUCUGGUUAUUUUCUAAAAAUUUCUCUGUCCCUUUUAGUAGAUGCAGUAAAGAAUGGAACAGAAUUGUUGAUAUAGUUCACUGUGUUCUAAAAGGGAGAUGUUUGUGCAGAACCAGUGGGACAAACACCAAAGAGAAACAGAGGUCAACCAGUUAAUGUGAGAGCAGACUGUGAUAAAGAUCUAACUGGCCAUUUUCCUAUCUCUCUGGAACAUCAGAUGCAGUAUUCUGGAAACGGCAUGGACCAAGGGCAAAAGGGUAGAAGGAUUCAGCUAAGCACCAGUCUGAUGCACAUACUGUUCAAAGACUGAGAAUCGCCAGGCUUUCUCACGUGUGUGGACGUUCUUGAAACUGUGAAUACACAAGAGCAAAGAUGGAAGCUUGUUAUUAUUUAUCCAGCCAAAAAACAAGAGACCCAGA
rnacentral:lncRNA from 1 species